GCGUGUGAGGAAACGGUUCACGAAACCGUAGUGGCGUGAGAACGUCACCGUGGGUUCGAAUCCCACCGCUUCCGCA
rnacentral:tRNA from 1 species